GAUGAACGCUGGCGGCGUGCCUAAUACAUGCAAGUCGAGCGAAUGGAUUAAGAGCUUGCUCUUAUGAAGUUAGCGGCGGACGGGUGAGUAACACGUGGGUAACCUGCCCAUAAGACUGGGAUAACUCCGGGAAACCGGGGCUAAUACCGGAUAACAUUUUGAACCGCAUGGUUCGAAAUUGAAAGGCGGCUUCGGCUGUCACUUAUGGAUGGUCCCGCGUCGCAUUAGCUAGUUGGUGAGGUAACGGCUCACCAAGGCAACGAUGCGUAGCCGACCUGAGAGGGUGAUCGGCCACACUGGGACUGAGACAUGGCCCAGACUCCUACGGGAGGCAGCAGUAGGGAAUCUUCCGCAAUGGACGAAAGUCUGACGGAGCAACGCCGCGUGAGUGAUGAAGGCUUUCGGGUCGUAAAACUUUGUUGUUAGGGAAGAACAAGUGCUAGUUGAAUAAGCUGGCACCUUGACGGUACCUAACCAGAAAGCCACGGCUAACUACGUGCCAGCCGCCGCAGUAA
rnacentral:rRNA from 1 species